UACAGAGGGUGCAAGCGUUGUUCGGAAUUAUUGGGCGUAAAGGGCUCGUAGGCGGUUUGUCGCGUCGGGAGUGAAAACCAGGUGCUUAACACCUGGCCUGCUUUCGAUACGGGCAGACUAGAGGCAUUCAGGGGAGAACGGAAUUCCUGGUGUAGCGGUGAAAUGCGCAGAUAUCAGGAGGAACACCGGUGGCGAAGGCGGUUCUCUGGGAAUGUCCUGACGCUGAGGAGCGAAAGUGUGGGGAGCGAACAGG
rnacentral:rRNA from 1 species